AACGUAGGAGGCGAGCGUUAUCCGGAUUUACUGGGCGUAAAGCGCGUGUAGGCGGUUUCAUAAGUCGUGCGUGAAAGCUCCCUGGCUCAACCGGGAGAGGUCGUGCGAUACUGCGAAACUUGAGUCAGACAGAGGCAAGUAGAAUUCCGGGUGUAGUGGUGAAAUGCGUAGAUAUCCGGAGGAAUACCAGUGGCGAAGGCGACUUGCUGGGUCUGUACUGACGCUCAGACGCGAAAGCAUGGGGAGCGAACGGGAUUAGAAACCCCGGUAGUCCAUGCUGUAAACGAUGUCAACUAGGCGUUGGGGGCUAGAUGCCCUCAGUGCCGAAGCCAACGCGAUAAGUUGACCGCCUGGGGACUACGGCCGCAAGGCUAAA
rnacentral:rRNA from 1 species